AUUGAACGCUGGCGGCAUGCCUUACACAUGCAAGUCGAACGGUAACGCGGGGCAACCUGGCGACGAGUGGCGAACGGGUGAGUAACGCAUCGGAACGUGCCCAAUAGUGGGGGAUAGCCCGGCGAAAGCCGGAUUAAUACCGCAUACGACCUACGGGUGAAAGCAGGGGAUCGCCAGAACUUGCGCUAAUGGAGCGGCCGAUGUCAGAUUAGGUUGUUGGUGGGGUAAAAGCCCACCAUGCCGACGACCUGUAGCUGGUCUGAGAGGACGACCAGCCACACUGGGACUGAGACACGGCCCAGACUCCUACGGGAGGCAGCAGUGGGGAAUUUUGGACAAUGGGCGCAAGCCUGAUCCAGCCAUGCCGCGUGCGGGAUGAAGGCCUUCGGGUUGUAAACCGCUUUUGUUAGGGAAGAAAUCUUUUGAGCUAAUACCUCGGAAGGAUGACGGUACCUAAAGAAUAAGCACCGGCUAACUACGUGCCAGCAGCCGCCGUAA
rnacentral:rRNA from 1 species